GAACAAAUACAUCGCAUGGCACAGGAAACUCGUGACGUCUGGCUUAACCACACUAGAAACUGGUUUAAUCGACACUGGUGUGGCAGAGACGUGCGGUCACAUGAUCCGAGAUCGUCCAAGUUUAUUAAUAGUGUUUCUUUUUCUGUAGAAAGGACCGUUAGCAAGUUUCCAAAAUAACUAAUGUUAGAAAAACGAUGGCCUUUCGCUGGACAGAAAACAAGAUCGAAGAACGGAGUAAAAUUUCGGUUCCUAUCUGGACUCUGGUUCUACAGCCGUAAACCUGGAUGUGGGUAACUACCGUGUCCGACGGAGAGUGUAGUCUACACGCUACCAAAAUGGCCGACAAUUUAAAUAGACAGAAAAAGAAGAAUUUUAGUGCCAAGGAAACCGAAGCUCUACUCUACAAAUGGGGAAGCGAAGAAAUGCAAAAGAAAUUUCAAGAAGCUUAUAAACAUAAUAUAUUAUGGAACGAAAUUGCUAACGAACUUAAAUUAUUCGAGAGAACUCCUUCCGAACUCAGAACCAGAGUUUCUAAUCUGAAAAAGGAGUAUUUUAAGUUGAAACGUACAUUAAAACCGGAUAGCCCAUUUCCAGAUUGGCCUUAUUGGAAACUCAUGCAUUCUAUAUUAGGACGACGUUCGCUACCAGAUAAGAGAUAUACCAUGGAUAGUUUAGAUAUAGAAAUAAAAAGAGAGGCUAAUGCUUCAGAAAUUUGUAAUGAAAAUAACAUAAAUAUUGAAAACAGUUUGGAAAUUGAGAUUGAAGGUCAAGAAUCAAAUUUUUCAAAAUUUUCUAUUGAAGAUUUAAAUAAUGUUGAAGACAAAUUAAAGAUUGACAAUAAGAAAUUGGAUGUUCAAAGAAAUUCAAGUGAUGGUAAUAAACUGUAUACAUUUCUGUUUUUAUUAAAUGCUUUUAUUUAACUUGCUUUGCAUUAUGCCCUCAUAUUUCAUCCAUUUCUAAUUAAGAUAGAAGCCUAAAACUUUGAGGACAUACCCAAGUCCAAUAAAAAUGCAUUUUAGUGGGGUGAUGUUGGACCAUCCCACUCCGCAAUAACUUAAUUGAAGAAUUAACAAUGCAAAAAUUUAAUCAAUGAUAUUGUUUAUAAAUGAUAUUUUAGGUAUAUAUAUGUAAAUGCAUUAUAGUAAUGAUCACAUUACUAUAAUGCAUUUACAUGAUGUAUAUGGUGAGGGUGGCUCAACAACCAACAUUUUUGCAAAUAAUAUAACAGAAGCAGAUGAUAGAAGAUCAUCAAAUAUUAAUAAUUCAGAUAUGGGAAGAGAAUUAGAAUCUCCUCUUCCUAGUGAUUCAGCAUC